rnacentral:rRNA from 1 species
GACGAACGCUGGCGGCGUGCCUAAUACAUGCAAGUCGAACGCCGUUGCGAACGGGUGAGUAACGCGUAGGUAACUUCCCCAUAGCGGGGGGUAAAUAUUUGAAACGGUAGCCAAUACCCCCUACUGUGAGCUGGACCUGCGUUGUAUUAGCUAGUUGGUGGGGUAAACGCUCACCAAGGCGACGAUACAUAGCCGACCGGGGAGGGGGGUCGGCCACAAUGGGAAGGGGAAACGGCCCAGACCCCUACGGGAGGGAGCAGGAGGGGAACUUCGGCAAUGGAGGGAAGGCUGAACGAGCAACGGCGCGGUAGAGAAGAAGGGUUUCGGAUCGUUAAGCUCUGUUGAUAGAGAAGCGGUAACCAAACAGAAAGGAACGGCUAACUACGUGCCAGCAGCCGCGGUAAUAC